GCUGCUUUUUGGUUUUUUGGCCAAGAUCAUGUGUAGGAUCUGUUCUUAUCAGUUUGCUAUCUGAUGUGUUCCCUUUCCAAAAACAAUAUAUUAUAUAUGUUUUUGGUUUAAGGAGAUGGAAUAGGAACAUGUUAUAUAUUCAUUCCACAUAUAGACCUGGUAUUGCAGGAAUAGUGCACCCUAU
ensembl:snRNA U2 U2 spliceosomal RNA